rnacentral:rRNA from 1 species
UACGUAGGGGGCAAGCGUUGUCCGGAAUCAUUGGGCGUAAAGAGCGCGUAGGCGGCCCUGUAAGUCCGCUGUGAAAGUCAAGGGCUCAACCCUUGAAUGCCGGUGGAUACUGCAGGGCUAGAGUCCGGAAGAGGCGAGUGGAAUUCCUGGUGUAGCGGUGAAAUGCGAAGAUAUCAGGAGGAACACCGAUGGCGAAGGCAGCUCGCUGGGACGGUAUUGACGCUAAGGCGCGAAAGCGUGGGGAGCAAACAGG